rnacentral:tmRNA from 1 species
GGGGCCGUCCCGGAUUCGACAGGUUGGUGAAAGCCGACCCGUGAUGCAGGUCGAGAGUGAGUCUACUCUCGUAAAUUCAGGCUCAACUUCAAAAGUAACUGCGAACAACAUCGUUCCAUUUGCUCGUUCAUAGUCUGACUCCGUUAAGGGCUAUGGACAAAACCCCAACGGAUGCGCACUUUAAUUGCCUCUGGUCGAUUGAGUGCAAAGACUUCACCAGAGAUCCCCACCAUCCGGGAUAAAGGAUGAUUCCUGCCCAGAGGAUUAGAUGGGCUAAACCUGUGAAAGAACGGUAGGGAAAUAUCCAGCCUGGACAGCAGUUCAACUCUGCUCGGCUCCAUUU